AUGCCAUCUUCCUGUCUCCCCCUCAGCUCCUCCUUCUCCUCCUCAGCGCAUCCCAGCAGAGGCUGGACUGAAACCCAGCAGCUUAAUUCAGCCACGACGACUCCUCUCUUUCCCUCCCCCAUGUUCCUCUCCCCUCAGCAGUCUCAUCCCAGUUUCCCUCUUGGAUACCAGCCAACCACAUCCCUCUGGCCAGUCCCAAGCCCCCACGGCACCCCCAUCCCCUCCCUCUGCUCCUCCAUGUCAACAUCCUCCAUUCCUUCUCUCACCUCCUCCACCUCCACGCCCUUUAUCCCUUCCCUCAUCCCCGAUGAGUGGUACAGACAUCAGAGAAAGAAGAAUGAAAGAGGAACGUCCUACAGGGAUUCCACCUCUCGAUCGAAGUCUUACAAGUCCAAGUCGUCUCGAUCCUACUCCAACUCUUCAAGCAGGUCCAGAUCCCGUUCGCGGUCCAGAUCGAAGAGCAGAUCCAGACACCAGUCGCCUUAUUCCCGUCACAGAAGCCUGCACACCCGCUCUCAUGCCUUCAGCUCCUAUAGUUAUGGUUACAAAUGCUCACGUUCCCCCACUCCAUCAUCAUCGUCUUCUCCCCGAGUGAGCCACUCUUCCAGGUCCAAGUCACCAUCAGAUCACCAAAGGAAGCGCCACCACAGCCGUCACCAGAACAAGAAGUCAUCUUCAAGCAGAUACGGCUCCAGAAGGAGAGGGGAACGGUCCGUGAGGGAAGCGGGGAGCUCAGAAGCCACUUUAGUCAGUCCUCUGUCUGCUCCGAGAGGGAGCCAGUCCUCCAGCCUGGAUCUGGAGAGAGAGCGCUACCUGCAGUGGAAGAAGGACUACAAAGAGUGGUGUGAGAAAUAUUUCAGCAGCUACGUCGGCCACUUCCACCAGCUGCCUCUUCCCCUGCUCAACCUCCCUCCUCCUCCUCCUCAGUGGGAGGACGCAACAAGACCUGAGAGCAGCUCACGUGCCAAGCCAGACUCUGACGGAAGAUGCCCCACUCCGCAGGACGGCCACUCCCCCUCACUGCGAUCGUCCAGCGCCAGCCGAUCUCCUCCAUCACACUCACUAAGCGACAGCCGCUCCACGGCCUCUCAGUCGUUCAGUGACAGCUCUUCUCCGUCUCACACUUCCAGCAACAGCCGCUCUCCUCCCUUACGCUCUUUCAGUGACAGUCUCUCCACACCAUCUGAAGACAGGGCUCAGAUGGGCCACUCACCAGCGCCCAAGGGCACUGAGGAAGUUAACCUGCAAUAUAUAAAUAAGGGAGACAAAAAGGUGAAUGUAAAAAAUCUGGAGGGUCUCGGCUCACUUAAACAUGACCGAAGGAGGACAAAGAGCCACAAGGACGGAAGAGAGGGCAAGAGUGUGAGCGUAACACGUGAUGAGUGGCUACGCGACACUGGACCAAAUGCCUGCAAGGACACAGGAUUUGCAGCACAAGAUAAAGAAACUAUCAGUGGUGUUGUGAGGUCAGUGCAGCCUUGCCCCAAAUCCAAUAAAUAUUUGGAUGCACACCAUGAAAGAGAAAGCAGAGACAGAAGAUGGAGAACAGGCAAACGUCCCGACUCCAGGCAAGAUGAGGACCGACGACGCAAAGGAAAGCACAGCAAAGAGAGAGCCCGGAGGGAGGCAGACCAGCACAGGAGCCGUGAGCGUGGCAGAAGUGCUGCAACCAAACCAGAGAAGAGUAGAAGAAGGAAAGGAGAGGAAGCGCAAAGAAAUAAAGCUCAUUGCAAGAGCGUGUCCCCAAACCCAGCGGAGAGAAACAAGCCAAACAAUGACAAGAAAGAUCCUCAAAAGCAAACUCUGAAAGAGAGUCAGAUCUGGGAGGACGGGAUGAAAGUGGCACCGCAGAAGAAGAAGAUCAACAUCAACAUCAACCUCAACCUGGACGGCAAAAGGAAGGAAUUUGAUUCACUGAGUGCUACAGAAAAACCAAAUGAGGGAAGUGAAAUGACUGGUAAUGGAGGCGAGGGGGAAGGUGACGCAGAUAAGGAAGACGUGGCUGAAACGAGCAAAACCUGGGAGAAAGGCACGUUCAGGGAGGUGAAGGUGUGGGAGGAGGAACAAAAAGGAGAGGGCUUUGACUUAUGGCACUGUGGCCUGAGAGGAGGAGUGGAGGAGGAGGAGGAAGGAGGGAGACACAGGUCCAAGGCUAGCAAAGAAGAGGAGGAGGUGACCAGAGAUGAGGAAAUGAGCAAGAUGUGGAACGAAGGUCACGAGAUCGCAGAUUUGAUCCAAAACACCCAGAAGGAGCAGGCAGACGGGGAAGACAUGUUCAACACAAACAGAGAAACGGCACUGGAUGAGUUAAACACACACACAAAGCAAGAAGCGACGCAGGGAGACGAUCCGAAGAUGUCCGAGGAGCAGAGGAGGCUUCAGAGGCCAGAAGCUGCAGUGGGCGAUGGCAGUAUCUGUGAGCAUCACCAGGAAAUGAGAAACUCUCUGGAGGAGAACCCCCGAGAGACAGACCCAGGAAGGGAGGAUGCGCCCGUGCACGUGAAGGUUCCUCUCUCCAGGUGGGAUAAAGCAUCCGACGAAGCGGAGCAAGACAAGUCAGAGGAGACUGCACAAGAUGCUGUUGCUGUGUCUGUGCCUCCACCAUCAGUGGCAGCAGCCAAGCAGGAGACUGAAGAGAAGAGAUGGAGGUCAGUGGACUCGGAGAGAGACAGGGACCGACAGAUGCCCAGAAGGCCGCACAGCGAUGCCAGUCAUGGUAUAAAUAGAGUGCUGGCGCCCUCUAGUGGCAGUUACAAAACUGACAGUACCAUGUGUACAGACGGAGAGAGGAAAAGAAGGAUGGAGAGGGACAGAGAGACAGGAAGGGAGGGUGAGAGAUCACGAGAGAGACGUAAAGAGAGCAGACGACCCAAAGACAGGAGGAGGGAGGAAGAGAGGGGGAGAGACCACAAGAGGGAUCCUCCUGCCUCUGGUUCCUCGUCCUCAGCAUCACGUGACGCGGAGAGGAGAGAGUGGCAGCGUGGAGGCGGCCAAGGCAGCGAGAGGAAAUACCUCCAUCCCAAAGACAGAAGUUCAGUCAGCACAGCCGUGGACGUGCCUGAUAGAAACGCCUCCAAAGCACAGAGCAACGCGGGUAAUUCUACCAAUAUGUGGGUGGGAGAGAGCGCGUGGCAGCAGAGGGGGGGGCUGCAGGAGGAGGAGGGGUCCAGCAGCCGCAGCAGCUACAGCUGUUCAUCAGCGAGCAUGGAGGACGAGAGCAGGAAGCCCCGAAAGGAGAGGAGGGCAGCUGUGGCAGAACAUCUGGAGGAGCAGGAGCUGCUUAGACACAGGAAGCCAAAGAAGAACGCAGAGGGAGAAGACAGGAGCGGAGCCGAGGUGGAAGGUGGAGGGGGCGACGGGGCGGACGCACCAGGCGUCCCUGGUUUCCAUGGAUGA
rnacentral:lncRNA from 1 species